CAGCCGCCGCGGUAAUACGAAGGGUGCAAGCGUUACUCGGAAUUACUGGGCGUAAAGCGUGCGUAGGUGGUGGUUUAAGUCCGUUGUGAAAGCCCUGGGCUCAACCUGGGAAUUGCAGUGGAUACUGGGUCACUAGAGUGUGGUAGAGGAUAGUGGAAUUUCCAGUGUAGCAGUGAAAUGCGUAGAGAUCGGAAGGAACAUCUGUGGCGAAGGCGACUAUCUGGGCCAACACUGACACUGAGGCACGAAAGCGUGGGGAGCAAACAGGAUUAGAUACCCCGGUAGUCCCUGUCUCUUAUAC
rnacentral:rRNA from 1 species